rnacentral:sRNA from 3 species
AUUCUGCGCAUGCGGGGAAGGAUGAGAAGCUUCGACCAAGGUUCGACUCGAGGCCAGCGAGAGAGCGUUGCCGCAGGCAACGACCCGUAGGGCGAAGCGCGCAGCGCUGAGUAAUCCUUCCCCCACCACCA